ensembl:snoRNA
GGGCUCCCGGGAGCCGGGGGAGACGCUGCCUCGGAAGCUGA